rnacentral:rRNA from 1 species
GACGAACGCUGGCGGCGUGCUUAACACAUGCAAGUCGAACGGUAAGGCUCCAGCUUGCUGGGGUACACGAGUGGCGAACGGGUGAGUAACACGUGGGUGACCUGCCCUGCACUUCGGGAUAAGCCUGGGAAACUGGGUCUAACACCGGAUAGGACCGCACCGUGAGGGUGUGGUGGAAAGUUUUUUCGGUGUGGGAUGGGCCCGCGGCCUAUCAGCUUGUUGGUGGGGUAAUGGCCUACCAAGGCGGCGACGGGUAGCCGGCCUGAGAGGGUGGACGGCCACAUUGGGACUGAGACACGGCCCAGACUCCUACGGGAGGCAGCAGUGGGGAAUAUUGCACAAUGGGCGGAAGCCUGAUGCAGCGACGCCGCGUGGGGGAUGACGGCCUUCGGGUUGUAAACUCCUUUCACCAUCGACGAAGGGUUUCUGACGGUAGAUGGAGAAGAAGCACCGGCUAACUACGUGCCAGCAGCCGCGGUAAUACGUAGGGUGCGAGUGUUGUCCGGAAUUACUGGGCGUAAAGAGCUCGUAGGUGGUUUGUCGCGUCGUCUGUGAAAUUCCGGGGCUUAACUCCGGGCGUGCAGGCGAUACGGGCAUAACUUGAGUACUGUAGGGGAGACUGGAAUUCCUGGUGUAGCGGUGAAAUGCGCAGAUAUCAGGAGGAACACCGGUGGCGAAGGCGGGUCUCUGGGCAGUAACUGACGCUGAGGAGCGAAAGCAUGGGGAGCGAACAGGAUUAGAUACCCUGGUAGUCCAUGCCGUAAACGGUGGGCGCUAGGUGUGGGUUUCCCUCCACGGGAUCCGUGCCGUAGCUAACGCAUUAAGCGCCCCGCCUGGGGAGUACGGCCGCAAGGCUAAAACUCAAAGGAAUUGACGGGGGCCCGCACAAGCGGCGGAGCAUGUGGAUUAAUUCGAUGCAACGCGAAGAACCUUACCUGGGCUUGACAUAUACAGGAUCGCGCCAGAGAUGGUGUUUCCCUUGUGGCUUGUAUACAGGUGGUGCAUGGUUGUCGUCAGCUCGUGACGUGAGAUGUUGGGUUAAGUCCCGCAACGAGCGCAACCCUUGUCUUAUGUUGCCAGCACGUUGUGGUGGGGACUCGUAAGAAACUGCCGGGGUUAACUCGGAGGAAGGUGGGGAUGACGUCAAAUCAUCAUGCCCCUUAUGUCCAGGGCUUCACACAUGCUACAAUGGUCGGUACAGUGGGUUGCCAGUCCGUGAGGGCGAGCUAAUCCCGCAAAGCCGGUCUCAGUUCGGAUCGGGGUCUGCAACUCGACCCCGUGAAGUCGGAGUCGCUAGUAAUCGCAGAUCAGCAACGCUGCGGUGAAUACGUUCCCGGGCCU